AUGGAUUUGAAACUGAGCUGUGUUUUCAUUGUUGUUUUCUUAAAAGGUAUCCAGAGUGAGGUGAAGCUGGAGAAGUCUCGGGGAGGCUUGGUGCAACCUGGAAGGUCCAUAAAACUCUCUUGUGCAGCCUUAGCAUUCACUUUCAGGGACUACUGGAUGCACUGGGUCUGCCAGUCUCCAGAGAAGGGACUGGAAUGGGUUUCUGCAAUUGGAAUCAAAACUAGUAAUUAUGCAACACAUUAUGCAGAGUCUGUAAAAGACAAAUGCAUCAUCUCAAGAGAUGAUUCCAAAAGUAGUGUCUACCUUCAAAUGAACAGCUUAAGAGCUGAAGACACUGGCAUUUAUUACUGUGUAAGUCCCAGUGAGAAGCCUUCAUUUUAA